rnacentral:lncRNA from 1 species
AAGACAAGAGGAAAAUGGAUGAAACGAGCGGGGAUCGGUUAAAGAUUCCAAUGUCUGUGGUUCAGAGGCCUCUGAUGAAGAAUGGAGAUUUCCCUGGUUGUGAUAAUUGUUGUACGGCUGUCGCCACAAAUGGGCAUACAAUGAUGAGGGAAACGAUCCAGAGAAUGAUGGAAGUAGAAAUGGACGAUGUAAGAUGUAAAGUACCCAGUUUGGCAGUUGAAGC